GCUGGGUGUAGUGGCACACAUCUGUAAUCCCAGCAAUUUGGGAGGCAGAGACAAGAGGUUCACAAGUUUGAGGUCAGCUUCAGCAACUUAGCGAGACCCUGUCUCAG
rnacentral:sRNA from 1 species